rnacentral:ncRNA from 2 species
ACUGAAUAAGUGGAAAUAGGUGCUCAUGCUUAAGAGGCUUGAGCUUAAAAGGGAAGUCCGGUGCGAUGCCGGCGCGGUCCCGCCACUGUAACAGAGGAGUCCAAGCGUUGAUGCCACUGAUCCGAGCGGAUUGGGAAGGCAAGCUGAAGAUGAUGAUACUGGAGCCAGGAGACCUGCCUAUUUGAACGACACUGC